CCUACGGGAGGCAGCAGUGAGGAAUAUUGGUCAAUGGGCGCGAGCCUGAACCAGCCAAGUAGCGUGAAGGAUGACUGCCCUACGGGUUGUAAACUUCUUUUAUAAAGGAAUAAAGUGAGGCACGUGUGCCUUUUUGUAUGUACUUUCUGAAUAAGGCUCGGCUCACUCCGUGCCAGCCGCCGCGGUAAUACGGAGGAUCCGAGCGUUAUCCGGAUUUAUUGGGUUUAAAGGGAGCGUAGAUGGGGUGUUAAGUCAGUUGUGAAAGUUUGCGGCUCAACCGUUGAAUUGCAAUUGAUACUGGCAGUCUUGAGGACAGUUGAGGUAGGCGGAAUGCUUGGUGUAGCGGUGAAAUGCGUAGAUAUCACGAAGAACACCGAUUGCGAAGGCAGCUUACUAAACUGUAACUGACAUUGAGGCGCGAAAGUGUGGGUAGCAAACAGGAUUAGAUACCCUAGUAGUC
rnacentral:rRNA from 1 species